rnacentral:rRNA from 1 species
UACGUAGGGGGCAAGCGUUGUCCGGAUUUAUUGGGCGUAAAGAGCGUGUAGGCGGCUUUACAGGUCCGUUGUGAAAACUCGAGGCUCAACCUCGAGACGCCGGUGGAAACCGUAAAGCUAGAGUCCGGAAGAGGAGAGUGGAAUUCCUGGUGUAGCGGUGAAGUGCGCAGAUAUCAGGAGGAACACCCGUGGCGAAAGCGGCUCUCUGGGACGGUACUGACGCUGAGACGCGAAAGCGUGGGGAGCAAACAGG